AUGACAGUGUCGGCGACGACGGAGGAGCCGUCGGCGAACGCCACGCGGCCGUCGGCGUGCAGGCGGUCUAUCUGCGGGUGGAGGUGCAGGUUGGCGUGGUUCGCCAGCAUCUUGGACAUCGCCGGCGUCAUGGCCUCCUCCACGGACUUGGCAGUGAGGUGCACCUCCUUGGCGACGCGGCGGAGGUCCAGCGCGAUGUCCUUGCCGCUGUCCCCGCACCCGACCAUCACCACCACCUCGCCGCGGAACGGCUCCGGCGUCCGGUACGAGUGGCUGUGCAGCUGCCUCCGCGGCCAGUCCUCCAUGCCGUUGAUGCUCGGGAGCUUCGGCUGCGAGUAG
rnacentral:rRNA from 1 species